AUUGAACGCUGGCGGCAUGCCUUACACAUGCAAGUCGAACGGUAACGGGCCUUCGGGUGCCGACGAGUGGCGCACGGGUGAGUAAUGCAUCGGAACGUGCCCGAUCGUGGGGGAUAACGAGGCGAAAGCUUUGCUAAUACCGCAUACGAUCUACGGAUGAAAGCAGGGGACCGCAAGGCCUUGCGCGGACGGAGCGGCCGAUGGCAGAUUAGGUAGUUGGUGGGAUAAAAGCUUACCAAGCCGACGAUCUGUAGCUGGUCUGAGAGGAUGAUCAGCCACACUGGGACUGAGACACGGCCCAGACUCCUACGGGAGGCAGCAGUGGGGAAUUUUGGACAAUGGGCGCAAGCCUGAUCCAGCCAUGCCGCGUGCAGGAUGAAGGCCUUCGGGUUGUAAACUGCUUUUGUACGGAACGAAAAGCCUUCUUUUAAUACAGGAGGGUCAUGACGGUACCGUAAGAAUAAGCACCGGCUAACUACGUG
rnacentral:rRNA from 1 species